rnacentral:tRNA from 1 species
AGAUGGGUAUUUAAAUUUAUAAUAUUUGGUUUGCAGUCAGAAGGUGUUUUUCUCCAUCUU